rnacentral:rRNA from 1 species
CUGGUGGCGAGUGGCGAACGGGUGAGUAAUAUAUCGGAACGUGCCCAGUCGUGGGGGAUAACGCAGCGAAAGCUGUGCUAAUACCGCAUACGAUCUAUGGAUGAAAGCGGGGGACCGAAAGGCCUCGCGCUAUUGGAGCGGCCGAUGGCUGAUUAGCUAGUUGGUGGGGUAAAAGCCUACCAAGGCUACGAUCAGUAGCUGGUCUGAGAGGACGACCAGCCACACUGGGACUGAGACACGGCCCAGACUCC